UGGGGAUGAUGUCAAGUCAGCAUGGCCUUUAUAUCCUGGGCGUACACACACGCUACAAUGGCCAACACAAUAGGUUGCUAAGCCGCGAGGUGGCGCCAAUCCAUAAAGUUGGUCUCAGUUCAGAUUGUAGGCUGCAACCCGCCUGCAUGAAGAUGGAGUUGCUAGUAACCGCAGGUCAGCUAUACUGCGGUGAAUACGUUCCCGGGGCUU
rnacentral:rRNA from 1 species